rnacentral:lncRNA from 1 species
UCAAUAUCCCCUUACGCCACUCCACGGUGAUGGGGCUCUGGAGGCUGGGGUGCUCCACGUGGCAGGUGUAGACAUCUCCACGCUGGGGAGUCAUUUCCAGCAUCACCAGGAUCUGGAAAGUCCAGUCACCAUUCCUAAUAAGGGGGGUGGACACAACACCGGCUGUCUCCUCCUGGUCAUUCCGAAACCACCGGACUUUGAUCUGGGCUGGAUAGAAAUCUGUCACCGAGCAGACCAGCAGGUUGUGGUGGUUGAGGGCCUCUGUCCUGGAUGGGGAGAUGGUCACUGUGGG